UACGUAGGUGGCAAGCGUUGUCCGGAUUUACUGGGCGUAAAGGGCGUGCAGGCGGUCUGUUAAGUCUAGGGUGAAAGCUCCCGGCUCAACUGGGAGAGGUCCUUGGAUACUGGCGGACUUGAGGGAGGCAGAGGAAAGUGGAAUUCCCGGUGUAGUGGUGAUAUGCGUAGAUAUCGGGAAGAACAUCUGUGGCGAAGGCGGCUUGCUGGGCCUUUACUGACGCUGAGACUCGAAAGCGUGGGGAGUCAAACAGGG
rnacentral:rRNA from 1 species